GAUGAAGAACGUAGCGAAAUGCGAUAAGUAAUGUGAAUUGCAGAAUUCAGUGAAUCAUCGAAUCUUUGAACGCACAUUGCGCCCGCCAGUAUUCUGGCGAGCAUGCCUGUUCGAGCGUCAUUUCAACCAUCAAGCCCCAGGCUUGUGUUGGAGCCCUGCGGCUGCCGCAGCCUCCCAAAACCAGUGGCGGGCUCGCUAUCACACCGAGUGCAGUAGUUUACUCUUCGCUCAGGGCGUGUGGCGGGUGCUAGCCGUGAAACCCCCAACUUCUCAAGGUUGACCUCGGAUCAGGUAGGAAUACCCGGAACUUAAGCAUAUCAAUAAGCGGAGGA
rnacentral:misc_RNA from 1 species